UACGAAGGGCGCAAGCGUUACUCGGAAUUACUGGGCGUAAAGCGUGCGUAGGCGGUUCGUUAAGUCUGUCGUGAAAGCCCUGGGCUCAACCUGGGAAUUGCGAUGGAUACUGGCGAGCUAGAGUACGGUAGAGGAUGGUGGAAUUCCCGGUGUAGCGGUGAAAUGCGUAGAGAUCGGGAGGAACACCCGUGGCGAAGGCGGCCAUCUGGACCAGUACUGACGCUGAGGCACGAAAGCGUGGGGAGCAAACAGG
rnacentral:rRNA from 1 species